rnacentral:misc_RNA from 1 species
UGAUGGUGUCCGUCAUCUACCAGCACACCGACUCGGUCGCCGGCUGGAGCAAAUACGAGAUGAUGCUCCUCGUCGGCACCUCGCUGCUCAUCCAGCGCUUCCUGAUGGGCUUUUUCUGGAGCAGCAUCUUUGAGAUGGGCCGCAACAUCCGCAGCGGCAACUUCGACUUCUUCCUCGCCCAGCCGGGCAACGUCAUGUUCAUGGCCACGACCCGCAAGCUCGACCCCGACGGCCUGAUGAACUCGUUCGUCGCGAUGGGCGUUGUUGUCUACUCCGCCCGCCAGCUUGGCCUGCACCCGGGCGCGGCGGAUCUCGCACUCUACGCGCUGCUGGUCGGCUGCGGCGUGAUCAUCCACUACAGCAUGCUGGUGCUGUGCAUCGCGCCAGCCUUCUGGAUUACCAGCGCGCAGGGCAUCGAGGGCAGCUAUUUCACGCUCAG